CAGAGUGUCCGCCAAGUGGUUCUGGCGUAGCAGGCAGGUGGUUCAGGGGUGUCCGGCAGGUGGUUCCGGUCUGUCCGGGAUGUGGUUCCGGUGGCUCCAGCACGUGGUUCUGGCACGUCUGACAGGGGGUUCCGGCAUUCCCGGCAGCUGAUUCCAGAGUGUCUGCCUAGUGGUUCUGGCGCAGCCGGCAGGUCAUUUUGGCAUGUCCGGCAUGUGGUUUCAGCACGUCGAACAGGUGGUUCCGGCGUGCUCGGCAGGUGGUUCAGGUGUGUCCAGCAGGUGGUUCCGGUCUGUCUGGGAGGUGGUUCCGGCGUGUCCGGCACGUGGUUCUGGCACGUCUGACAGGAGGUGACAGCAUUCCCGCAGGUGAUUGCGGAGUGACCGCCAAGUGGUUCUGGCAUAUAAGGCAGGUGAUUUUGGCAUGUCUGGCAGGUCGUUCUGGUACGUUGAGCAGGUGGUUCUGGCGUGCUCGGCAGGUGGUUCAGGUGUUUCCGGCAGGUGGUUCUGGUCUGUCUGGGAGGUGGUUCCGGCAAGUCCUGCACGUGGUUCUCGCACGUUUGAGACAUCAUUCCGGCAUGCCCAGCAUGUGAUUCUGGACUGCCCGGUACGGGGUUCCGGCAUGCUUCGCAGGUGGUUCAGGCAUGUCUGGCAGGUGGUUCCGGUCUGUCCGGGAGGUGGUUCCGGGCUGUCCGGCACGUGGUACUGGCACGUCUGAGAAGUGGUUCAGGCAUCCCCGGCAGGUGAUUCUGGAGUGUCCGGCAAAUGGUUCUGGCUUAGCCGGCAGGUGAUUUUGGCGUGUCUGGCAGGUGGUUCUGGAGAUUCAAGCAGGUGGUUCUGGUGUGCUCGGCAGGUGCGCCUGGCGUGUCUGGCAGGUGAUUCCGGUCGGUCCUGUAGGUGGUUACAGCGUGUCCGGCACGUGGUUCUGGCACGGCUGCGAGGUUGUUAUGGCAUGUCCGGCAGGUGGUUCCGGUGGGUCCGGCAGGUGGUUCCGGUCUGUCUGGAAGGCGCAUCUGGCAUGUUCGGCACGUGGUUCUGGCACGUCUGAGACGUGGUUCCGGAAUGUCCGGCAGGUGAUUCCAGAGUGUCUGGCACGUGGUUCUGGUGUAGCCGGCAGGUGAUUUUGGCGUGUCCUGCAGGUGGUUCCGGUGAGUCGAGCAGGUGAUUCCAGCAUGCUCAGCAGGUGGUUCAGGCGUGUCUGGCAGGUGGUUCCGGGAGGUCUGGGUGGUGGUUUUGGUGUGUCCAGCACAU
rnacentral:lncRNA from 1 species